UACGAGGGGUGCAAGCGUUGCUCGGAAUUAUUGGGCGUAAAGGGUAGGUAGGUGGUCUCAUUUGUCUGGGGUGAAAGCCUUGGGCUUAACUCAAGAAGUGCCCCAGAAACGGUGAGACUGGAGUCCCGGAGAGGGUCGUGGAAUUCCCGGUGUAGCGGUGAAAUGCGUAGAGAUCGGGAGGAACACCAGAGGCGAAGGCGGCGACCUGGACGGGCACUGACACUCAACUACGAAAGCGUGGGGAGCAAACAGG
rnacentral:rRNA from 1 species